UACGUAGGGUGCGAGCGUUGUCCGGAAUUAUUGGACGUAAAGAGCUCGUAGGCGGUGUGUCACGUCGGCCGUGAAAACCUGCAGCUUAACUGUGGGCGUGCGGUCGAUACGGGCAUCACUGGAGUUCGGCAGGGGAGACUGGAAUUCCUGGUGUAGCGGUGAAAUGCGCAGAUAUCAGGAGGAACACCGGUGGCGAAGGCGGGUCUCUGGGCCGAUACUGACGCUGAGGAGCGAAAGCGUGGGGAGCAAACAGG
rnacentral:rRNA from 1 species